GGAGGGGAAGGAAGGGACGGGGAAGCAGUCCCACAGCAGAGACUGUAAGACCCCCUGCCCAGACCUGAAUCAAGAGGGAACGCCCACCCUGGCUCAGAGCAGGGGAGGAAAAGGCACUGUGCUGACCGGGUGGGUCUUUCCCUAAACCCCAGGGAGGGUGGAGAACCUGCUGAUUCUUCCCCCUGGGCUUCCCAAGGUGAGCUGGAUUUCUAGGGAAAGGAAUUUAAGUGCUAGGAAAGGGAAAAUACUGCUGCUGUUUUCUGAAGUUCAACUGAGUUCUAGAAGCCAUGGCCAGGCCAUCCCAGGAGAGGGUAGAGGCAGGAUAAGAAGGAAGAGAAAUUCCUUAAAACAGAAGCUUCUCCAAAAAUAAAAGAAGUCAAAUCACAAUUCUAAAACUGGAUUAAACAGUUCCCAGGCACAGAAAGGGGGAGGUAAACUGAACUCAAACUUCACCCCAUCUCUUCAAAGCCCAAGUGACCUCUAAUGUGAUCCCCCAUUUCAGGCCAGUAUCUCUUAGGCCAACAGUGGAAACAAGAACAUAAGAUCACACUCUCACACCAACAAGUGGCCUGCAGGCCCUGUGCUUUUCCUGCGAGUUGACCACUGAUGCUUGAAGAGAACCAUCUUCCAAGUCACCAGAACUCUAGGUUAACACUGAGCAGCUUCUCCUCAAUAGUGGAGAUUUUUUUCAGGAAAAUGUAUCUGGUUUGGGGGACAUGGGUCCCACAGGUUGUUUCCUGGCAUGUUUCCAUCUUCUGGAAUGGAGCCCCCCACCCCCUCAAAGUCUGACCCAAAUCAGGGCUACACUGCAGAAUCUCAGCCCAUCUCCAGAAGACAUCUUUCCCUGGUCCUCCUGGAAACUGAACCCAAGCCACACUUCUGGCAAAAAGAGUUUCAGCCUUGGCCGUUUGCUCUUGGUUUUGGCCAGAGGGGCUCCAGAGGAUCUGAACACCCAGGACAGAGUGUGGAUCCAGAAGAGCCCAGGCAAAAUGGAGGCGGCAAGUCCUCCUUCUGCAUCCUGUCUAAUCCACUGGCAGUGGCCUGCGACUCCAGGGAACUGGGAUGGAAUAGGAAGUGGGAACCCCUGUCAGAAGCCCACUCACUAGUCAAGAUGCCCACUGCCCAGGCAGGCGGUCCCCAGGACCAGACAUCCACCUCCAUCAUCCUUUAAUGCCAGGAGCUUUGGCUGAUCACAGCCUCAGGCCACAGCCGUUCAGCUGCCUCCAUGCCCAAAGCCUAAGUCACAGCGAAAACGAAGGGCUACGACUCUCAAAGUACUGAAGGCUGACCUGGAGUCACUCAUUCAGAACCAAAACCCAGGACGUGGGCCCAAGGGCUAUUUAUGUUGUCGAACAUAUGGAGCUCUUGAAAAACAUGUCCAAAAAAGCCAAACUCAAAACUCAACACAUUCUAAAACGCUGGGCCUGGCCCAAGAGUCUAUGCUGCUCCCGCCAAGCAGAGCUGACCCUGUGGCCUGCUAUACACAGAAUUCCUUGUAGCUUGGUGGGUCCUCCCUCACUGCUGCCCUAGCUGGGGAAAGGAUGACGGGGACCAGAAAGAAGGGGGACAGGGAAGCUUCGUUUCCUGCAGAAAUUUUCCCAGGGAAUUCGAGACAGACACCUAGAUGCUAAGGAGCGGCCGCAGAGCUGCCAGGACUGUGGCUGACCAGCAGUCUUCCAGCCCCGUCACACCAAGACCCCAGCUAUGAUGGACAGGGAAAUGAAAGGACAGAGGGGCACACUCUUAAGGUCAGUGAGAGGAACAACUGGGCCAGAACCCAACCAGUCUAGUUCCUUGGGGCAGCUCUAGGCUUAAACCAGAACUGGCUGAACCAGAAGGACGUGGGACAAAAUGAAUGCCGGGUACUAGUUACUCUCAACAGUGGUCAGUCACUUAGUAGGGCUCAAGUCUCUGAGGUUGCUCUUAAGUUAUGCUAACAUAAGCCUUUUCUAAUCCAAAGACCAGAAGAGACUUUUAAGGUCAAGUGUUCUGUUGCUGCAGGCUGGAAAACGUCCCUGUCCCCUGGCAGCGAGACCCUACAAAGGGGCCAGUCAAAGAACUGCUGGGUCAGGUCCUCCGGGCUGCUGGCUCAGAGAUCCAGGGAGGGAGGUACCAGUAAGUUGAGGGGGUGGAGGAUAAGACAUUCAAGCAGAGGGAACCCCAAAUCCCCAUGUCUCCUUCCCUUCUUGGCAAUAACUUAGCAGAAUGGCUGAGAGAGAAGAGAUUUCAAAUGAGCCAGGUUCAGAAAAAGAGAGAGAGAGGAAAUCAAGUCCCCAACAGGCACUGAAAUCAAAAUGACUUGUUGUGAUAAGAAGUCAGAGGCAACUUGAGGACCUGACAUCAACUAAUUGUCUUGGAUACCAGACAGUCCUCUAACUGGCACAUGUCAGGGAGACAAGCAAUGACAAAGCUCAAACACUUAAGGUGGAACUAUCACUGGGCUAAAACCAGAAAGGCUUCCAAGUAGGGAAGCUUCUGCUUUUCUUUCUUUUUAAUCCCCCUCCGUUUUCAUCUUUAUCAUAAAAUUAUACACCUACGCAAGCGCACGCACACGCACGCACACACACCACACACACACACACACACACACACCCCCUCACGCUUUCAAUCCCAGGACAUCUGAAAACUUAUCUGGACAUAACUCCAGAACAUACCCAACUCCCAGCGCUGGCCUUCUCAACUAAGAAGAUGACAUUUCCCUGCUGUUAAUUAAAAAAGGAACCGUGUCUGCUCUGAGUUCAGAGUCCUUUCCACUGGGUAUAUGGAUGAGGGCCCUUGACCAGGUAGGAUCCAGUUUACCCAACGUACCCUAGAGAGGAGAGACGGCCCAGGGCCACCACAAAGAGAGAACUAGGACUGGAGCAGGUCUGGGACCAGGUGGUGGAUGAGGGCUGCUCUCUACCCACUAUGCCUCUUUUCAUCUCCUUUAAGAGUGAGUCUGAGUUGUGUGUGUGUGUGUGUGUGUGUUUUCGUUGGUCUGUUUUUGUUAAUCACUGUGAAAAAUAAAGAGUGAGUGAGUCUGAAUUGUGUGUGUGUG
ensembl:lncRNA